GUGAACGCUGGCGGUAGGCCUAACACAUGCCCGUCGAACGGCAGCACAGUAAGAGCUUGCUCUUACGGGUGGCGAGUGGCGGACGGGUGAGGAAUACAUCGGAAUCUACUUUUUCGUGGGGGAUAACGUAGGGAAACUUACGCUAAUACCGCAUACGACCUACGGGUGAAAGCGGGGGAUCUUCGGACCUUGCGCGAUUGAAUGAGCCGAUGUCGGAUUAGCUAGUUGGCGGGGUAAAGGCCCACCAAGGCGACGAUCCGUAGCUGGUCUGAGAGGAUGAUCAGCCACACUGGAACUGAGACACGGUCCAGACUCCUACGGGAGGCAGCAGUGGGGAAUAUUGGACAAUGGGCGCAAGCCUGAUCCAGCCAUACCGCGUGGGUGAAGAAGGCCUUCGGGUUGUAAAGCCCUUUUGUUGGGAAAGAAAAGCAGCAGGUUAAUACCCCGCUGUUCUGACGGUACCCAAAGAAUAAGCACCGGCUAACUUCGUG
rnacentral:rRNA from 1 species